rnacentral:rRNA from 1 species
CAUUGGGGGCGGCCUAUAAUGCAGUCGAACGAGAUUAAGGGGCUUGCUCCUUAUGAAAGUGGCGCACGGGUGCGUAACGCGUAUGCAACCUACCUCAAUCAGGGGGAUAGCCCGAAGAAAUUCGGAUUAACACCGCAUAAAAACACAGGAUAGCAUUAUCUAAUGUUCAAAUAUUUAUAGGAUUGAGAUGGGCAUGCGUGUCAUUAGCUAGUUGGCGGGGUAACGGCCCACCAAGGCGACGAUGACUAGGGGAUCUGAGAGGAUGACCCCCCACACUGGUACUGAGACACGGACCAGACUCCUACGGGAGGCAGCAGUAAGGAAUAUUGGUCAAUGGAGGCAACUCUGAACCAGCCAUGCCGCGUGCAGGAAGACAGCCCUCUGGGUCGUAAACUGCUUUUAUUCGGGAAUAAACCUAUUUACGUGUAGAUAGCUGAAUGUACCGAAGGAAUAAGGAUCGGCUAACUCCGUGCCAGCAGCCGCGGUAAUACGGAGGAUCCAAGCGUUAUCCGGAUUUAUUGGGUUUAAAGGGUGCGUAGGCGGCUUAUUAAGUCAGGGGUGAAAGACGGUGGCUCAACCAUCGCAGUGCCUUUGAUACUGAUGAGCUUGAAUGAACUAGAGGUAGGCGGAAUGUGACAAGUAGCGGUGAAAUGCAUAGAUAUGUCACAGAACACCGAUUGCGAAGGCAGCUUACUAUGGUUUUAUUGACGCUGAGGCACGAAAGCGUGGGGAUCAAACAGGAUUAGAUACCCUGGUAGUCCACGCCCUAAACGAUGAAUACUCGCUGUUAGCGAUAUACAGUUAGCGGCUAAGCGAAAGCGUUAAGUAUUCCACCUGGGGAGUACGCCCGCAAGGGUGAAACUCAAAGGAAAUUGACGGGGGCCCGCACAGCGGAGGAGCAUGUGGUUUAAUUCGAUGAUACGCGAGGAACCUUACCCGGGCUUGAAAGUUAGUGAAUGAUCUAGAGAUAGAUCAGUGAGCAAUCACACGAAACUAGGUGCUGCAUGGCUGUCGUCAGCUCGUGCCGUGAGGUGUUGGGUUAAGUCCCGCAACGAGCGCAACC